AAUUGUUGUUGUAGUUUGUUUUGAAAGCAAAAAUUGAAGUAUUAGUUUACUUAGCAAUUU
rnacentral:tRNA from 1 species